UUCAGCGGCGGACGGGUGAGUAAUGCCUAGGAAUCUGCCCGAUAGUGGGGGACAACGUUUUCGAAAGGAACGCUAAUACCGCAUACGUCCUACGGGAGAAAGCAGGGGACCUUCGGGCCUUGCGCUAUCGGAUGAGCCUAGGUCGGAUUAGCUAGUUGGUGGGGUAAAGGCUCACCAAGGCGACGAUCCGUAACUGGUCUGAGAGGAUGAUCAGUCACACUGGAACUGAGACACGGUCCAGACUCCUACGGGAGGCAGCAGUGGGGAAUAUUGGACAAUGGGCGAAAGCCUGAUCCAGCCAUGCCGCGUGUGUGAAGAAGGUCUUCGGAUUGUAAAGCACUUUAAGCUGGGAGGAAGGGCAGUAAGCUAAUACCUUGCUGUUUUGACGUUACCAGCAGAAUAAGCACCGGCUAACUUCGUGCCAGCAGCCGCGGUAAUACGAAGGGUGCAAGCGUUAAUCGGAAUUACUGGGCGUAAAGCGCGCGUAGGUGGUUCAGCAAGUUGGAUGUGAAAGCCCCGGGCUCAACCUGGGAACUGCAUCCAAAACUACUGGGCUAGAGUAUGGUAGAGGGUGGUGGAAUUUCCUGUGUAGCGGUGAAAUGCGUAGAUAUAGGAAGGAACACCAGUGGCGAAGGCGACCACCUGGACUAAUACUGACACUGAGGUGCGAAAGCGUGGGGAGCAAACAGGAUUAGAUACCCUGGCAGUCCACGCCGUAAACGAUGUCAACUAGUUGUUGGGUUUCCUUGAGGACUUAGUAACGAAGCUAACGCGAUAAGUUGACCGCCUGGGGAGUACGGCCGCAAGGUUAAAACUCAAAUGAAUUUGACGGGGGGCCCGCCA
rnacentral:rRNA from 1 species